GACGAACGCUGGCGGCGUGCUUAACACAUGCAAGUCGAACGAUGAAGCCGGAGCUUGCUCUGGUGAAUUAGUGGCGAACGGGUGAGUAACACGUGAGUAACCUGCCCUUGACUCUGGGAUAACUGCGGGAAACUGUAGCUAAUACCGGAUACGACCCUCGGAGGCAUCUCCUGGGGGUGGAAAGAAUUUCGGUCAAGGAUGGACUCGCGGCCUAUCAGCUAGUUGGUGAGGUAAAGGCUCACCAAGGCGACGACGGGUAGCCGGCCUGAGAGGGUGACCGGCCACACGGGGACUGAGACACGGCCGAGACUCCUACGGGAGGCAGCAGUGGGGAAUAUUGCACAAUGGGCGCAAGCCUGAUGCAGCAACGCCGCGUGAGGGAUGACGGCCUUCGGGUUGUAAACCUCUUUUAGCAGGGAAGAAGCGAAAGUGACGGUACCUGCAGAAAAAGCACCGGCUAACUACGUGCCAGCAGCCGCCGUAA
rnacentral:rRNA from 1 species